CCUACGGGUGGCUGCAGUGAGGAAUAUUGGUCAAUGGGCGCGAGCCUGAACCAGCCAAGUAGCGUGAAGGAUGACUGCCCUACGGGUUGUAAACUUCUUUUAUAAAGGAAUAAAGUUCUGCACUUGUGCCUUUUUGUAUGUACUUUAUGAAUAAGGGUCGGCUAACUCCGUGCCAGCAGCCGCGGUAAUACGGAGGGUGCGAGCGUUAUCCGGAUUUAUUGGGUUUAAAGGGUGCGUAGGCGGAAUAUCAAGUCAGCGGUAAAAAUUCGGGGCUCAACCCCGUCGUGCAGUUGAAACUGUUGGUCUUGAGUGGGCGAGAGGCAUGCGGAAUGCGUGGUGUAGCGGUGAAAUGCAUAGAUAUCACGAAGAACUCCGAUUGCGAAGGCAGCAUACCGGCGCCCAACUGACGCUGAAGCACGAAAGUGUGGGUAUCGAACAGGAUUAGAUACCCGAGUAGUC
rnacentral:rRNA from 1 species